rnacentral:lncRNA from 1 species
GACAUAGCAAAAUAUGGUUGUUUUCUCUUCUGCUUCCUUCUGCUUCUCAUUUGUGGAUGCUGAAAGCAGCUGGACCUGUUCCAUGUGAAUGGAAAUAAUUAUGGGCAUGUACAACAAAUUCAUUAAUCUCAAGAAGGUAUUCAGCUGUGUCUCAGCAUCUCCUUAACUUCUCCAAAGCUAAAGAAUAGUAUUGCAUCAAGAACUGUAUCAAGAACAGUAUUGCUUUACUUUCUUCACCUGUAACUCUAUUAUAAAGGUCUGCCUAAAUACAUAUUCUUGAAGUCAUAUCCCUGGUAUGUUAUGGUUCAGGGAAAUGCCUCCUCCAGACUGUGGUGAACUUGUGUCUAUUGCUGCAAAAAUCCUCUGAGCUGGGAAAAUAAUGUCAGGGCUGGAUGGGAGUUCAAAAGUGAAGUGACUUUUCAGAAGAAACAGAACAAAAUGAUUACAGUCUGGAAAGUGAAGAGUUUUAGGUGCUGCAUGAGGAAGGAGAUACCUGUUGAGCCACAGUAUAUGCCCACGAGUUCUGGCUGCUGCCUGAGUCCCAGUAGCUCGGAGAAUAUGGUACAUGUCGUUUGAGCCGCAGGAACUGAUUCACUGACUCUUCUGUCAGAAAGGGUGCUCCAAGGACACUCGAAACAGAAGCUGAUAAAUAUUUGUAAUAUCAUAAAAAUAUGUUCGAAUGUGCACUUCAAUAAUACGCUUAUAUCCACAGAACAUGGUUUUGAAUCUGUAGUUUAUUUAAUAAAAAUCAGAGGUGGUCCUACCUUAGAUUCA